rnacentral:rRNA from 1 species
AAAUGGACUCUCAGCAACGGAUAUCUUGGCUCUUGAACGA